ACGCACGCUGGCGGCGUGCCUAAUACAUGCAAGUUGAGCGAUGAAGAUUGGUGCUUGCACCCAUUUGAAGAGCAGCGAACGGGUGAGUAACGCGUGGGGAAUCUGCCUUUGAGCGGGGGACAACAUUUGGAAACGAAUGCUAAUACCGCAUAAUAACUUUAAACAUAAGUUUUAAGUUUGAAAGAUGCAAUUGCAUCACUCAAAGAUGAUCCCGCGUUGUAUUAGCUAGUUGGUGAGGUAAAGGCUCACCAAGGCGAUGAUACAUAGCCGACCUGAGAGGGUGAUCGGCCACAUUGGGACUGAGACACGGCCCAAACUCCUACGGGAGGCAGCAGUAGGGAAUCUUCGGCAAUGGACGAAAGUCUGACCGAGCAACGCCGCGUGAGUGAAGAAGGUUUUCGGAUCGUAAAACUCUGUUGGUAGAGAAGAACGUUGGUGAGAGUGGAAAGCUCAUCAAGUGACGGUAACUACCCAGAAAGGGACGGCGAACUACGU
rnacentral:rRNA from 1 species